UUGUAAUAGGAGGUGGCCAAAUAUUAAGGGAAGCUCUCAAUGCACCUGGAUGUGAUGCUAUCCACAUUACAGAAAUUGAGACAAACAUUGAUUGCGAUACUUUUAUNNNNNNNNNUUCAACCUUGGUACUCAUCCUUUCCCAUGGUGGAAAACAGCAUACGAUAUUCCUUUGCAACAUAUGUUCGAGUGAGGAGUUCUGCAAUUGAAUCCCAU
rnacentral:misc_RNA from 1 species